GAUGAACGCUGGCGGCGUGCCUAAUACAUGCAAGUCGAACGCAUAGCGAAAGGUGCUUGCACCUUUCAAGUGAGUGGCGAACGGGUGAGUAACACGUGGACAACCUGCCUCAAGGCUGGGGAUAACAUUUGGAAACAGAUGCUAAUACCGAAUAAAGCUUAGUGUCGCAUGACACAAAGUUAAAAGGCGCUUCGGCGUCACCUAGGGAUGGAUCCGCGGUGCAUUAGUUAGUUGGUGGGGUAAAGGCCUACCAAGACAAUGAUGCAUAGCCGAGUUGAGAGACUGAUCGGCCACAUUGGGACUGAGACACGGCCAAAACUCCUACGGGAGGCUGCAGUAGGGAAUCUUCCACAAUGGGCGAAAGCCUGAUGGAGCAACGCCGCGUGUGUGAUGAAGGCUUUCGGGUCGUAAAGCACUGUUGUAUGGGAAGAACAGCUAGAAUAGGAAAUGAUUUUAGUUUGACGGUACCAUACCAGAAAGGGACGGCUAAAUACGUG
rnacentral:rRNA from 1 species